AUGAUUUGACAUCAAAUGCAGUGCUGUGCCAGGAUUCUUGGCUGUCAUUUUUGGAUGGAGUAUUUCCAGUUAGAACAGUAAUUUAGCCAGCAGUUCUACAUGAAGGCCCCGGGGAAGAGUUACAAUUGCAAUAGCUAGAUCUCUAGCUUUAAGGAACAAACUAACCACCCAUUGCCAUAAAAGAACCAUUUCAAAGUAGGAAACCACAACCAGGACAUACUAAGUCAUUAUCAUGAGCAGACCUUCAAAAUUAAAGAAGUCAUGAAGUUAAGCAAACUGUAAAGGACCAAAUGACAAGAGCCCAGAUAGGACAGCUGUUCCUGCUCAACAGACGCACCAUGCAAGAGUAACUCAGAGUCAACUUCUGCAGACCUUAAGAGAGACCCCCCCCAAAAAAAAAGAAAGAAAGAAAGAAAAAGAGGGAGGAGGAGGAGCAGGAGGAAGAGAAGAAGAAGGGAAAGGAAGGGGAGGGGGAGGAGAAGGUAAAGAAAAAACCUGAAAGUCAAGUGAAUAACUGAAAGAACAAGCCAAUAACUAGAAAAAAAUCAGUUGGCAAACAUUCCCAAAGAGGCAAGCUAUAUCUUUGUCUGCAAGCUGGAAGAUUUGGAAUUGAGUAGAGUCAGAAUUGGGUAAAAAUUCUCACAAGUGACAGAAGGCACGGUGGUGGGUAAGAUCAUCAAGGGAGAUUUUUCAAGAGACAAGAAUUGGGCGAAAGACAGACAGGAAGUAUCCAAUCAUUUUUGGCUGGUGGAGAAAGUGGGGCAUGUGAAGGCGACAACCAAAGAAUUUCCAGAGACAAUGAAGGGGAUAACAAGAGUCCCUGGAAACCGAGGAAGAACAAUUUCAUCAUCGUUAUUUUUAGCCUUUAUUAUGCAUCAAAAUAAAUCAUAAAUUCAGAGUAAAAAUAAAAACAGAAACAGCA
rnacentral:lncRNA from 1 species